rnacentral:rRNA from 1 species
AACGAACGCUGGCGGCAGGCUUAACACAUGCAAGUCGAACGGGCGUAGCAAUACGUCAGUGGCAGACGGGUGAGUAACACGUGGGAACCUUCCUCGUUGUACGGAACAACUCAGGGAAACUUGAGCUAAUACCGUAUACGUCCGAGAGGAGAAAGAUUUAUCGCAAUGAGACGGGCCCGCGUCGGAUUAGGUAGUUGGUGGGGUAACGGCCUACCAAGCCGACGAUCCGUAGCUGAUCUGAGAGGAUGAUCAGCCACACUGGGACUGAGACACGGCCCAGACUCCUACGGGAGGCAGCAGUGGGGAAUCUUGGACAAUGGGCGCAAGCCUGAUCCAGCCAUGCCGCGUGAGUGAAGAAGGCCUUAGGGUUGUAAAGCUCUUUUACCAGGGACGAUAAUGACGGUACCUGGAGAAUAAGCCCCGGCAAACUUCGUGCCAGCAGCCGCCGUAAAAC